rnacentral:rRNA from 1 species
AACGCGAAGAACCUUACCUGCCCUUGACAUCCCGCGAACCCGGGUGAGAGCCUGGGGUGCCGAAAGGAGCGCGGAGACAGGUGCUGCAUGGCUGUCGUCAGCUCGUGUUGUGAGAUGUUGGGUUAAGUCCCGUAACGAGCGCAACCCUUGUGCCUAGUUGCCAGCAUUAAGUUGGGGACUCUAGGGAGACUGCCGGUGAUGAACCGGAGGAAGGCGGGGACGACGUCAAGUCAUCAUGGCCUUUAUGGGCAGGGCCACACACGUGCUACAAUGGGGCGUACAGAGGGCCGCGAACCCGCGAGGGGGAGCCAAUCCCGGAAAGCGCCUCGUAGUCCGGAUUGGAGUCUGCAACCCGACUCCAUGAAGCUGGAAUCGCUAGUAAUCGCGAAUCAGCAAUGUCGCGGUGAAUACGUUCCCGGGCCUUGUACACACCGACGCGUA